rnacentral:rRNA from 1 species
UCGGAUUGUAGUCUGCAACCCGACUACAUGAAGCUGGAAUCGCUAGUAAUCGCGAAUCAGAAUGUCGCGGUGAAUACGUUCCCGGGUCUUGUACACACCGCCCGUCACACCAUGGGAGUUGGAAAUGCCCGAAGUCAGUGACCCAACCGCAAGGAGGGAGCUGCCGAAGGCAGGUCCGGUAACUGGGGUGAAGUCGUAACAAGGUAGC